UCGGCUGAGGGGCGCUGCAGCGAGGGUCGGGCCCUCGUCAGGCUCGGUGGGUCCAGCACUUCGCAACAAACGGCGCUCAGCAGAA
rnacentral:ncRNA from 2 species